UGGCCAUGCAUUUUUAGUUGCAGCAGAAGAGCACUAUAAACACAGGGAUUCCGGGCUCUGCUUGUGGUGGUUCUUAUUCACGCAGACACUCAGCUAUCUCAAGCACUGUGAUCAGAACACCGCACUCAACUGUGCUGACCACUCGCUGAUGCUGGAGCUACCCAUCAACAGGGCCAGAAGUCUGCAGGAAGAGGGAAGCAGGGCCAGAGCACAGGUGUCCAUGCCACCUUGGACGUCCUCUUAGUACUGGAGCCACAGUGCCAGUGGGGACAGGACUGUGGCAAGAUACUGGAGGCAAAACUUUCAGAGAAGUACGGGCCGAGAGAGGAGAGUUGGAGUGGGGAGGCAGGAGGCAGACAGUGCCUACUGCGUGAAUAGUUCCUGGGAGAUGAAUGCUCUGGAAAUUCUAAGAGGAUGUCACCUCAAGCUUUAAUGCACACCCACCAUGAAAUCGUUCUUUGGCAGCUUGCUGAACUGGUUCUCCUUGGGAUUAGCUCUAACCCAGGGAAGGAGGAACACUAUGGAAAGGGUGCAGAUGGAGCAAAAGCCUCGUCUUCUUUUCAAAGAGCUUCAGAUAUUUCAUUGCCACAUCAAAAUAACAGAAGCAUUGUCAAAAGAACCAUCCAUCAGAGAAGCUUUGAUGAGUUAGCUCAACCUGUGUGCAAAAACAAAAAUGAAAGUGUCAGAAGCCUCUUCAGGAGCAUGCCGCCGUGACUGCAUAAUGAAAAUUGCUUCCUCUCAGGCCAUGAUUUCUUCUUGGCUAUGUCAUUAAGUCUUAUGAAAACCUUAGUAUUGAGAGCUAAAUGAAAGCUUGUGAGUUUUGGUCUCCCAUUGUGACUCUAGCUUAUGUUGGAGAAUUAUUUCCUCAGUUAGCCUUCUGAGUGUUAAUAUAUUGCAGAGUUUAAACACAACUGCAUUGGGCGUUUCCAUUUAAAACAGAGCUUUUACAUGAUUCAUGAUGGGUAUUUCACAUUUCCCUCUUUCUAAAGAUCUAGGAAAUUAUUGUACAAGUUGUAAGUAAUGUGUCUGUAAGAACAAAGCAAUAUGUUUUAAACAGCUCAAGAUCAUUCUAUGGAAAGCUCCAUUCUAUCUAAUGCAUAUACACCUUAGCAGCAUUUCUCUUGGGAAAAUGUGAAAUAUGAUGCCCUAUGGAAUUGUAGAUUGGUAAGCCUAAUAUUUGUUGUUCUGAAAAUCCUUUUGUAAGAAGUUAGAAGAAAGUGUAUCCAUCUAAGUGUUAGAAGGGCAGAAUUCUGGGUUCAAUUCCUCUCCUUUUAGCUGUGUGACCUGAGACAAGCCAUGCAACUUCUCUGAGUCCAAAUUUCCUCUUCUU